rnacentral:rRNA from 1 species
AUUGAACGCUGGCGGCAGGCCUAACACAUGCAAGUCGAGCGGAUGAAGGGAACUUGCUCCUGGAUUCAGCGGCGGACGGGUGGGUGAUGCCUAGGAAUCUGCCUGGUAGUGGGGUCUAGCGUCCGGAAACGGGCGCUAAUACCGCAUACGUCCUGAGGGCGUACGUGGGGGAUCUUCGGACCUCACGCUAUCAGAUGAGCCUAGGUCGGAUUAGCUAGUUGGUGGGGUAAAGGCGUACCAAGGCGACGAUCCGUAACUGGUCUGAGAGGAUGAUCAGUCACACUGGAACUGAGACACGGUCCAGACUCCUACGGGAGGCAGCAGUGGGGAAUAUUGGACAAUGGGCGAAAGCCUGAUCCAGCCAUGCCGCGUGUGUGAAGAAGGUCUUCGGAUUGUAAAGCACUUUAAGUUGGGAGGAAGGGCAGUAAGUUAAUACCUUGCUGUUUUGACGUUACCAACAGAAUAAGCACCGGCUAACUUCGUG